rnacentral:rRNA from 1 species
AGAGAAUAGAUACCCUGGUAGUCCUAGUCGUAAACGGUGCGCAUUUGAGGUGGGAGGAUUCGACCCCUUCCGUCUCGUAGCUAAACGCGAUAAAUGCGCCGCCUGGGGAGUACGGUCGCAAGAUUAAAACUCAAAGAAAUUGACGGGGGCCCGCACAAGCGGUGGAGCAUGUGGCUUAAUUCGAUGCAACGCGAAGAACCUUACUUGGCCUUGACAUGUACGUAGUAGAACUAUGAAAGUAGGACGAGGUAGCAAUACCAGCGUACACAGGUGCUGCAUGGCUGUCGUCAGCUCGUGCCGUGAGGUGUUCGGUUAAGUCCGGUAACGAGCGCAACCCCGUAUGAUCUGUUGCCACUCUCAGCAAUGAGAAGCACUCUGAUCAGACUGCCCUGCAUAACGGGGAGGAAGGUGGGGAUGACGUCAAGUCAGUAUGGUCCUUACGGCCAGGGCUGCACACGUGCUACAAUGCCCAGUACAGAGGGAAGCCAACUC